rnacentral:rRNA from 1 species
AUAGCGUAUAUUAAAGUUGUUGCAGUUAAAGCGUCCGUAGUUGAACUUCAGACCUGGCUGGGCGGUCUGCCUCGCGGUAUGUACUGUCCGGCUGGGCCUUACCUCUUGGUGAGCCGGCGUGCCCUUUAUUGGUGUGCGUCGGGGAACCAGGACUUUUACCUUGAGAAAAUUAGAGUGUUCAAAGCAGGCCUAUGCCUGAAUACAUUAGCAUGGAAUAAUAAAAUAGGACGUGCGGUUCUAUUUUGUUGGUUUCUAGAGUCGCCGUAAUGAUUAAUAGGGAUAGUUGGGGGCAUUAGUAUUGAGUUGCUAGAGGUGAAAUUCUUGGAUUUACUCAAGACUAACUACUG